UCCGAGGAGGAGCAUCUAGACCAUAUCCCAUUAAAAGAAUCACUGGAAUAAUUAGAAUUGCCGGAUAAAGAGACAAAUGAGUUGCCAUAACCCAUCCAAAAGCUGCUAGGGGAACUAGUCGUGUACAGGCUCCAUAAAGCAUCAAUAUGAUGAACAAAUUUUCAAUUGGGGAUGUUGACAAACCCACACAAGCAACUAUUGUGAACGGAUUCCAUAAGUACACAAGAGCAGCAAUAUCUCCUGAAGCAAGUAUAUC
rnacentral:misc_RNA from 1 species